AGUGCGAGGGCAUACCGUCCUCGCUUUUCUGGACCGUAAGGUGGUCCAGGAACAAGGGCUGGGCAAGACCGGUGCCAGCCGCCGCGGUAAUACCGGCAGCCCAAGUGAUGGCCACUAUUAUUGGGCCUAAAGCGUCCGUAGCCUGCCAGACAAGUCCGUUGGGAAAUCCAUCGGCCCAACCGAUGGGCGUCCAGCGGAAACUGUCUGGCUUGGGACCGGAGGACCCGAGGGGUACGUCCGGGGUAGGAGUGAAAUCCUGUAAUCCCGGACGGACCGCCGAUGGCGAAAGCACCUCGGGAGGACGGAUCCGACGGUAAGGGACGAAAGCUAGGGUCUCGAACCGGAUUAGAUACCCGGGUAGUCCUAGCCGUAAACGAUGCCCGCUAGGUGUGGCGCAGGCUACGAGCCUGCGCUGUGCCGUAGGGAAGCCGAGAAGCGGGCCGCCUGGGAAGUACGUCCGCAAGGAUGAAACUUAAAGGAAUUGGCGGGGGAGCACUACAACCGGAGGAGCCUGCGGUUUAAUUGGACUCAACGCCGGACAUCUCACCGGCUCCGACAGCAGUGAUGACGGUCAGGUUGAUGACCUUACUCGACGCUGCUGAGAGGAGGUGCAUGGCCGCCGUCAGCUCGUACCGUGAGGCGUCCUGUUAAGUCAGGCAACGAGCGAGACCCGCACUCUUAAUUGCCAGCAGUAUCCUUGUGAUAGCUGGGUACAUUAGGAGGACUGCCGCUGCCAAAGCGGAGGAAGGAACGGGCAACGGUAGGUCAGUAUGCCCCGAAUGAGCCGGGCUACACGCGGGCUACAAUGGCCGGGACAGUGGGAUGCGACCCCG
rnacentral:rRNA from 1 species